rnacentral:tRNA from 1 species
GCGCCUGUAGCUCAGUGGAUUAGAGCACUGGUCUUCGGAACCAGGUGUCGGGGGUUCGAAUCCCUCCGGGCGCGCCA